rnacentral:rRNA from 1 species
AUUGAACGCUGGCGGCAGGCCUAACACAUGCAAGUCGAGCGGAUGAAGGGAGCUUGCUCCUGGCUUCAGCGGCGGACGGGUGAGUAAUGCCUAGGAAUCUGCCUGGUAGUGGGGGAUAACGUCCGGAAACGGGCGCUAAUACCGCAUACGUCCUGAGGGAGAAAGUGGGGGAUCUUCGGACCUCACGCUAUCAGAUGAGCCUAGGUCGGAUUAGCUAGUUGGUGGGGUAAAGGCCUACCAAGGCGACGAUCCGUAACUGGUCUGAGAGGAUGAUCAGUCACACUGGAACUGAGACACGGUCCAGACUCCUACGGGAGGCAGCAGUGGGGAAUAUUGGACAAUGGGCGAAAGCCUGAUCCAGCCAUGCCGCGUGUGUGAAGAAGGUCUUCGGAUUGUAAAGCACUUUAAGUUGGGAAGAAGGGCAGUAAGUGAAUACAUGGCUGUUUUGACGUUACCUACAGAAUAAGCACCGGCUAACUUCGUG